UGCUGCGGAAGGAUCAUUACAGUAUUCUUUUUGCCAGCGCUUAAUUGCGCGGCGAAAAAACCUUACACACAGUGUUUUUUGUUAUUACAAGAACUUUUGCUUUGGUCUGGACUAGAAAUAGUUUGGGCCAGAGGUUUACUGAACUAAACUUCAAUAUUUAUAUUGAAUUGUUAUUUAUUUAAUUGUCAAUUUGUUGAUUAAAUUCAAAAAAUCUUCAAAACUUUCAACAACGGAUCUCUUGGUUCUCGCAUCGAUGAAGAACGCAGCGAAAUGCGAUAAGUAAUAUGAAUUGCAGAUUUUCGUGAAUCAUCGAAUCUUUGAACGCACAUUGCGCCCUCUGGUAUUCCAGAGGGCAUGCCUGUUUGAGCGUCAUUUCUCUCUCAAACCUUCGGGUUUGGUAUUGAGUGAUACUCUUAGUCGAACUAGGCGUUUGCUUGAAAUGUAUUGGCAUGAGUGGUACUGGAUAGUGCUAUAUGACUUUCAAUGUAUUAGGUUUAUCCAACUCGUUGAAUAGUUUAAUGGUAUAUUUCUCGGUAUUCUAGGCUCGGCCUUACAAUAUAACAAACAAGUUUGACCUCAAAUCAGGUAGGAUUACCCGCUGAACUUAAGCAUAUCAUAACCGGGAGGAAAU
rnacentral:rRNA from 1 species